CACACACACACACACACACACACAGAUGCAUACCUGUGGCAUAACCACCUCUGGGGCCCACACAGCCUGGGGUCUCUUGAGGGACAGUCUGUUGGAAUGAAAUAUAAGAACACUUUGUCCAUGCUCAAAAACAGAUAGGGCACUUGUUUCAGGAUAUGAGUGUGUGUGAAGGUGACUGGGUGUAUGAGAAAGGCCUGAUGGUGGGACCCUGGCUGCCGGCAAACACAGAUUUUCCGCUGAGCACAGAUCUCCCAGGGCCUGCAGGUGACCCGUGUCAGAGGUUCUGCUGGGGCCCCUGCCCAUCUGGUUGUAGCUUGACCCUCUCUCUAGGCCAGUGCCCCCAUCCCAAGGGAUUCUCAGCCAGAGGGGUGGGGAUUGAAAGCCCACUCUUCAUUUUUUUGUUGAUGCUGGUUUUAGAUGAUGAAACCCAAACGAUUAAAUCGAAACUCUUUGCAGGGAGGUAAUUUUCCCUAAUCACUCACCCUGCUGCACAGAUCUCCACAACUUGAUUACUGCUAAUUAGAUUAAUUAGGUGGAGAAUCAUUUCCUUUUUCUGGGAAUACGAAUGGUCUGUGCAACAGCACCGAUGUCCCAGAGUCCAGCGGGAGGCUGGCCCAGACAAGAUGUCUGUCCUUUGAGCGGUGGAGGGGACUUGCCCAAGGUCACACCAUGAACAAAGUUGAACGUAGGUCUGUCCAAUUCCAAAACCUAAACUCUUAACCAUCGUGCUGUUGCUCUCAGCUUGGCCACCUCCCCUCCCCUCCCGACGGGGGCCUGGGGUCAACGGGCCGCAUGCCCCUCAGGGUCUCAGGACCCAGGGAGGCCUCAGAAGCAGGGGUCAGGGUGUGGCCCUUGCCGCUGGACAGGGAGGUGGCCUCCUGGACAAACCCUUCCUCGUGUUCCUCUCUCACUGCAGAUCCUAUGUUCUAAGUCAUGGAGUCCCUUCACCAAAAACGAAGAUGAGGGAAGGACUCUGGGAAAACAGAGUCAGCAAAAAGCCAGGAUUUUGGAGGAUCAUGGUGCAGUUGAUGGACAAGGAACUAAAAGAGACUUCGGCAGGCACCUGGCCCUCUCCCCUGACAUCCGAGGCACCAGUGAUCUACUUCUAGGGAUGCAGGUCAUGCUCUGAGCCACGCCAGCCACGGCCCGCAUAGUCUCGGCAGGCUGACUUCCUCCCUGACCACGGCUGAGGUUCCUUGGCCCCAAUUGUGGGCUGGAUGCCCGAGCCUUGGAUUGGAACCUGACCCACAAUAGGAGAGGGUGGGAGUCAGUUUCACUCCCUGGGGCCCAGCAUGAAGUUCUGGAAUCGUGCUUUGUCUUCAGUGCCUGGCACCUGAUCCCCACUGAGUUCUGCAAGUAGUCACCGAAUCCCCACCCUGGGUGGCUUUGCUGAGACAGGAACCCACGUGCUCUGAAAGAGCAGCCCUGUCUCGAGACCACCACUCGGACCCUGAGGCAUGGCCACCUCCACAUCCCUCUCAGGCAGUCAUACACACCCACACCCUGAGACUGAGGCACAGGUCUGUCCUUGUCACCUUGACCCAUGUGCCCUGAGAUCAUCACACACACAUCCUAACAAAGCCUGUGUACACACCCAUAGGGCAGACAUGCAUAUGCAUAGCACGCACACACACACACAACCAUUUCAUACAGAUGUACUGACUCAGGAGUCCACACUGCCCCACAGUGUAAACUUCUGGUACCUUCUCAGAGCCUCAGUUUCCCCAUCUGUAAAUUUGAGUUAGACUCAGCUUUUGGAGGAGCAUUCUGGCUGUAGAAUUUUGGGGGUUGAUUUUUCUCUUUCCCCUCUCUCAACAUGACAUUGACCCAGGAGCAGCUCAGAGAGGGGCCCCUGGCUGAUGUUUGCCAUUAGCCUGUGUCAGCAAACUGGGAGCUGCCCCAGCAGCCCCUGGGCAGAGCCAGCGUUGGAAUCCAGGGCCUGGGCAAGCAGCGAGGGAUGCACAGCCCCCACGCAUGCACACGCGGAUGCACACACACCCUGCUUUCACGCUGAGACACAUGUGCAGGAAAAGUCAUUACCAGCUCCAAACGAUGGGAUUUAUCAUCAGUCCCCGUCCUGGGGCCAGGCCUUGUCCUUCUGCCACCUGGGGUCAAUGACCACCAUCUGUUCCUUGAAUAUUUCUCUGAGAAUUUCGCUGGCAAGGGGUACUAGCUCAGAAUGGCAGGGGAAGAGCGGAUCUGGAGCCAGAAUCCUAAAGGCACCUCAGUCAUGUGCUGAGGCUACAGACAGGCCCGGGGGACAGUUUGGAGAAAGGGGACGAGCCAGUGUACAGACAGGCAGCUGGAGUGCCAGGUGGACCACAGACUGGGGGGUCACCAGAGGGGCAGGGAGUCACUUGUCUCAUCCUAGUCCUGCCAAGGCAUCCUGUCCUGUCCUCUCUAACCCUCAGCAUAGCUAUGGCUGUCUGGGUCCCACUUGUGUGACCUGACCCAAAAUAGGAGGGGGUGGGAGUCAGUUUCACCCCCUGGGGCCCAGCAUGAAGUUCUGGCAUCGUGCUUUGUCUUCAGUGCCUAGCCGCAGGCUAGGGGACCAAUUCUGUCCCUGCUGAGGGGGUUUAAAGACUUCUGUGGGCAGGUAAUGGGGGUAGGGGUGGAUUUGGAGUCUGGCCUGGUUUGGGUCCCCUGCUGGACCUGAACUGCUCCACCCCCACCUCCGCCCUGUCUCUCAUCUUCCAACAGGGCAAGGGGUCUGUAGGGACCCCACGUGGGCACCCACCCAGAAGUGGGGGUGGGGGGAUCUGCAGGAGUCAGUGAUGUUUGUCCCCAUCUCCUCUGCAGCCUCCGAGAUGCUGGGCUCCAGGUCAGCGCCCAGGAAAUAUCGACUGACCUGGUGAGAUGAUGAAAUGAGCUAACGCCUCUGUCUGGGCCUCAUGGCACCAAAAUCUAAACCUGUGCUGGGAAUUUGAACAACCUGUGAGCCUGCUGGGUGGAGGCAUUGAGGGUUUGGCUGGGUGGCCUCCCCACCUGGUUUCAUGUGGUCCCAGUGGAGAACAGGCUUCAAUGCGGGCAUCCCGGGGGACAUGGACACGUCACCCCCUCAAGGAAGACCCCUCACCUCUACUUGCUGUGAAACACAGACCCUAUGACCUUGGAGCUGGGAGGCCCCUCCAGGCCCUCCACCCACUGGGAAUCUGGCACAGAGAGGUCAAGGGAGUGGCACAAAGUCACUCAGCCAAAAACAAGGGCCCCUUAGUGCUCUGCUCUCCAAGCAGCCUGGGGAAGGGGCUUCUGUUAACCAGCACCUGAACUACUCCCUUCACCUUCAACUUGCCCUCACACCCGCUCCCUCACUGGGCGGAGAAGAGCCUGGAAAGCUCCCUGGGAGCCCAGACCAGUGAUCUGCAGACCUGUCGGGCCGAGGCCUGGGCCUGUGCUGGGAAAGGGAGGGUUAAGCCUUGAGUAGCCCUUGGUUGGUGUUUAACUUACAGCUUCUAAAGGCCGUCAGAAGCCCCAUGGAGCAAAUGUUUUCUGUCUUCAUGACACUACAGCAGAUUAAGGAGGCCCUAUCUUCCAGAGAGCGUGAAGGAAAGGCCAUCCGUUACCCUGCAUGGUCUGGCCUGGCAGCUGGAGGAACUUUCCCAGAGACCUUCCUUAGUGGAGGAGGGGUCCUCUCAUUUCAUCAGCAAAUCCUGCCUGGUCCCUCUGACACUCACUCCAGGAGAGGAACGGUCUGGUCAAGACAUUGAGACCAUCUAAGGCCCUGCUCAGCACAGAAGAGAGCUCCCAGUCCUAGUGGACCACAAGUCAACCCCCAUUCGCCUUCAUGGCCAGCAUUACCUUCACCCUUUUUUUCACCCCUCUUCUGCUCCUUCUUUUUCUUGGCAAUCAGUCAUCAGCUUUUUGUUAAUAUAAAUUGGUUUACAUUUUCUAGAAUUUUAUGGAACUAGAAUUAUGGAACAUGUGAACAUGUACCAGAAGCUAAAUCUUUGUGUUUUGAAGUAAAGGGCCUUUCCUUUAGCCUCCCAUGCCUCCCCUCAGUCUCAAAAGGCUGAUUCAAGAGUUAAUGAUUACGAGUUUUUAUUACAGCUAAAAACUCGUUAAAACAGUCUCCAUGAUGUUAUGUGCUGCCUUGGCCCACGAACUUACUGCUAAUGUUUACUUUCUAGUGAGAGUUACAUUAAAGUGUCUGGCUUUUCACAAAUGAUCUCUUCCUGGAUUCAUUGGUUUCUUUUACUGAUGGUUACUUUCCAGUUAAAGCUACGUGGCACCUUGCGUUUUCUUUCAUCAUCGAAACACCCCUUCCCUGUAAGCAAUCUUCAUUCCAGACAGAAGGUCAAGGAACGAUAACCCCGAAGACACCAGACGCUAUCACUGGGUCCACUGACAUUGGCCUCGAUGUCUCUGAGAUGAUCUAUGGAUGGAGAAUAAUGCAGACACCUUAAUCCAUAACCCUACCUUCUGAGCUGAACGUAUAAACCCCCUUGUUGUCUCCUCUCAAGUCAGGACCUAGUUUUGAGGCACUAGCUUGCUGGGUCCUCCUUUGCCUGACAGAGCAAAGCUCUGUCUCUGAGACUUAAUUGGUGCUGGGGUCCAGAGGCUGCAUUUUUGGCUACACGUGUAUUUUUGUUUGUUUGUUUUCACUCAGAAAAGAUUUUCAUCCAUGUGUGUGUAUAAAUCAAAAGUUUGUUUCUUUUAUUGCUGAAUCCCCUUUAUAGCCAUUCACAAACCCAUUAAAACUCAUUUAAUCCCCUUCAUAAACCCAUGAAAACCCAUUUAUGAUAUCCAUUAUAUGUAUAUGUGAUUAAUCCAUUCACCUGGUGACAGACAUUUGGGGUGUCUCUGCGUUUUUGGUAUUACAAAUAAAGCUGCCAUAAGCAUUUGGGUAUGUGUCUUCUAGU